rnacentral:rRNA from 1 species
GACGAACGCUGGCGGCGUGCUUAACACAUGCAAGUCGAACGGAAAGGCCCUGCUUUUGUGGGGUGCUCGAGUGGCGAACGGGUGAGUAACACGUGAGUAACCUGCCCCUUGACUUUGGGAUAACUUAAGGAAACUGGGGCUAAUACCGGAUAGGAGCUCCUGCUGCAUGGUGGGGGUGGGAAAGUUUCGGCGGUUGGGGAUGGACUCGCGGCUUAUCAGCUUGUUGGUGGGGUAGUGGCUUACCAAGGCUUUGACGGGUAGCCGGCCUGAGAGGGUGACCGGCCACAUUGGGACUGAGAUACGGCCCAGACUCCUACGGGAGGCAGCAGUGGGGAAUAUUGCACAAUGGGCGGAAGCCUGAUGCAGCAACGCCGCGUGCGGGAUGACGGCCUUCGGGUUGUAAACCGCUUUCGCCUGUGACGAAGCGUGAGUGACGGUAAUGGGUAAAGAAGCACCGGCUAACUACGUG